rnacentral:rRNA from 1 species
UACGGAGGAUGCAAGCGUUAUCCGGAAUGAUUGGGCGUAAAGCGUCCGCAGGUGGCUGUGUAAGUCUGCUGUCAAAGAGCAAAGCUCAACUUUGUAAAGGCAGUGGAAACUACACGGCUAGAGUGCGUUCGGGGCAGAGGGAAUUCCUGGUGUAGCGGUGAAAUGCGCAGAUAUCAGGAGGAACACCGGUGGCGAAGGCGCUGCUCUGGGCCGAAACUGACGCUGAGGCGCGAAAGCGUGGGGAGCAAACAGG